UACGUAGGGGGCUAGCGUUGUCCGGAAUCAUUGGGCGUAAAGCGCGUGUAGGCGGUCCGGUAAGUCCGCUGUGAAAGUCGGGGGCUCAACCCUCGGAUGCCGGUGGAUACUGUCGGGCUUGAGUACGGAAGAGGCGAGUGGAAUUCCUGGUGUAGCGGUGAAAUGCGCAGAUAUCAGGAGGAACACCAAUUGCGAAGGCAGCGCGCUGGGACGUUACUGACGCUGAGACGCGAAAGCGUGGGGAGCAAACAGG
rnacentral:rRNA from 1 species